AACAGUGCCACUGGUUUUAACUUUGAAAUUUAUUUUAUUUUAUUCAAGUUGGUUGGGGAAACUGCUUUGGUGACUCUUCAUGAUGAUGUAUUCCUACUGUUUGGUUCUUCUGGAUGCUCAGUUUGGUUCUGAACGUAACGUAACAACCAUAAUAAAAUAAUAUCCUUUAUUUAUGUAAAUGUUGUGUUUUGUAGGUUCGUUACCUAAAGAUUAUCGAGAAAAGCGGCUACCAGGCUCUUCCAUGUGUGAGAUACAUAACCAUGGCCGGCGAGUAUGAACUAAGACUUAUGUGAAAAUCUACUUCCACCUGUUGGUGUUCUCAAUCUCUACAAACUCGCAUGAUUUUGCACUUUCGUGGGCAAAAUGAGCCUAUAGGAGAGUUAAAUUGCCCCUAUCCAGACAAAUAGCUAAUUGAGCAAAUUCUUGUGCGUCCGUUUUCUUUGUUGAAGUCAUUGUUGAUUAUCAACCAGAGGUACGCAUCUUUUGGACCUGAAUAUGCCUACCCACAAGUCAGUAAAUUCAAAUCUCAACUGCUAAUGGGUAUUUUGGUACUCCAGUUGGUUCUGGAAAGGAAUAUGUGCACAAUCAUGGUGUGUUCUGUCUAUUUUUUCAGGGUGUCUACAAUCCUCACAUGGGUCAGCAUUACCUUCGAAUAUAUGGCGUACCAAGCACAGUUAACACAAAUAUUGUCCCAUAUGGACAAAUGGGUCAUCCUCUCUCUGACAACCAUGGGUAUCCAACCAUUCAGGGCUAUGUGACACCAGGUCGUCAUGUUCUGCAAUAUGGGGGACCCCUCGUCAAUGGAGUAACUACAGACACUAUUGCCAUAACUCAAGCACAAUACCUUGCAGUAUCCUGAACUACAGGCAUCUGCAAUGCUUGCUUUAUGUUGAUUUAUGAUUAUUGAUGCAGAUUUUUGGUAAGAUUUCUCUCCCUCCCUCCCUCCCUCCAUCUCUUUGUGUUUGUGUGUGUAACAGAAAAUGACAUCUAAUUUC